rnacentral:lncRNA from 1 species
GCAGCUCUGAUUGCUUGAAGCCAGUGUUGACCUGAGUUGUCGGAAAUGAAGCUUGCAUCCCCCCCCCCUUCAAUCCCAUGGGGCAUGAGAUGGGCAAGUGGACAACAAAAUUUGCAGCAUUCGGCCAACAGGCCCGGGGCCACGUGGACAUCAAAAGUACCUUUCAGUCCAAAUGCUACCCCGAUGGCACCUUCUCGCCUGCCCACCGCAUCUAUCCUUGGCGGCCAGCUGAGCGCGUGGAGCUGGCUCUGCAACACGAGGACAGCUUGGUUGAUGAGUGAACAACCUCCACAGAGGGUCAGAUCCCGGGAGCUUCAUCUGCUGAAAAAAAAAAAAAAAUCCUAAAUGUCAACUCUGCUCCGAGGGUGGGCAAGGAGAGCACGGGGUGCAGACAGCCUUGGUGGAGAGAUUCAUGUGGCUAAUUGACCAAGGCUGGAGGGUGACCACCUGCAGAGCAGCGACCUGCCACGUUCGGCCCAAAGGGGCCUCAAGGGGUGACAGGGCUUCUGGGAAAAUGUGAAUAUGCUUCUUUGGGAGGUGGCACCUGCGCCCAUGGGUGCUAGCCCCUUAAAAAGAGGCAGUUGGUGCCAGAGGUUGGGGUGACCCAGAAGGGGGUGGAGGCACCCCACACCUCUCCGAGAAGCUGGGGGCCAGAGCCAUCAGAAGGCCCCUGCGCGGCAGACUCAGCUCUCUGCCCCAGACACUUCUGAGAGGCCCCCUGUUCCUUAGCCCCACAGAACCUUUCUCCCAGAAAUCUGCGUGUCCGUCCCCAGGGCUCAGGCUGUAGGAGGCGGGAGGAGCCACACGAGCAUCCGGAGCAGAUGCAGGAGAAGGGAAAGGGGCGUCUGCAAAGCGCGGCCAGCACGGAGGUGCGGGAAGGACAGUGGCCCCAAUCCUGAGGCCCCUCAAUAGGGCCCCCCACCGCUCCCACCUGGCCCGUCCCCGUCCCGUCCAAAGCCACACCUUGUGGCACCGUCUUUUCCACGCUGCUCUUCGAGGCUCCCACGGCUCCUGGCGGUUGUGUGGUGAGGAAAGAAGAGCCUCUGAGGCCGGCGUUGCCAGCAACGGCUGGCGGGGGAGAGGAACCCCCUCCCGCAGACGGAGUCCGUGGCUGCGAAGGGAAUCCAUGAUCCACGAGCAGAGAUGACGGUCUGGGUUCUCUCAUCAGGGCCACGGCCCCCGCGUCUUCCCAGGAGUGAAUUUUAACACUGUAACAAUAAACACUACCGUGCAGAGCUCUGCUGACCAG